rnacentral:tRNA from 1 species
GCGGAUGUAGCUCAAUGGCAGAGCGCCUGACUGUGGCUCAGGGUGUUGUGGGUUCGAGCCCCAUCAUCCGCC